UGUAUCGCAUGGUAUAAUAAUCAAAUCUACGGAGGAUACAGAUGGGCAUGCGUGCCAUUAGCUAGAUGGUAAGGUAACGGCUUACCAUGGCAAUGAUGGCUAGGGGUUCUGCAAGGAAGAUCCCCCACACUGGUACUGAGACACGGACCAGACUCCGAGCGGGAGGCAGCAGUGAGGAAUAUUGGUCAAUGGAGGCAACUCUGAACCAGUUCAAGCCGCGUGAAGGAAGACUGUUCUAUGAAUUGUAAACUUCUUUUGUGACAGAGUAAAGAUAGCUACGUGUAGUUGUUUGCAAGUAUGUCAUGAAUAAGCAUCGGCUAACUCCGUGCCAGCAGCCGCGGUAAUACGGAGGAUGCAGGCGUUAUCCGGAUUUAUUAGGUUUAAAGGGUGUUCAGGCUGUCUGGUAAGUCAGAGGUGAAAGUCGGUUGCUUAACGAUCGAAUUGCCUUUGAAACUGUCAGACUUGAGUAUGGAUGUGGUAGGCGGAAUGUGUAGUGUAGCGGUGAAAUGCAUAGAUAUUACACAGAACUCCAAUUGCGAAAGCAGCUUACCAAACCAGCACUGACGCUGAAGCACGAAAGCGUGGGUAGCGAACAGGAUUAGAUACCCUGGUAGUCCACGCAGUAGACGAUGCUCACUCGCUGUUGGCAAUACACCGUCAGCGGCUAAGGGAAACCGAUAAGUGAGCCACCUGGGGAGUACGAUCGCAAGAUUGAAACUCAAAGGAAUUGACGGGGGCCCGCACAAGCGGUGGAACAUGUGGUUUAAUUCGAUGAUACGCGAGGAACCUUACCUGGGCUUAAAUGUGAAGUGCAUUGUUUGGAAACAGACAUUUCCUUCGGGACUCUUUACAAGGUGCUGCAUGGUUGUCGUCAGCUCGUGCCGUGAGGUGUCGGGUUAAGUCCCAUAACGAGCGCAACCCCUAUUGUUAGUUACCAGCGCGUCAAGGCGGGGACUCUAACGAGACUGCCGGUGUAAACCGCGAGGAAGGUGGGGAUGACGUCAAAUCAGCACGGCCCUUAUGUCCAGGGCUACACACGUGUUACAAUGGUCGGUACAGAGGGCAGCUAGGCAGCGAUGUCAAGCGAAUCUCGAAAGCCGAUCCCAGUUCGGAUUGGAGUCUGCAACCCGACUCCAUGAAGGUGGAAUCGCUAGUAAUCGCGCAUCAGCCAUGGCGCGGUGAAUACGUUCCCGGG
rnacentral:rRNA from 1 species